CAGCCGCCGCGGUAAUACCGGCGCCUCAAGUGGUAGUCGCUUUUAUUGGGCCUAAAACGUCCGUAGCCGGUCUGGUACAUUCGUGGGUAAAUCAACUCGCUUAACGAGUUGAAUUCUGCGAGGACGGCCAGACUUGGGACCGGGAGAGGUGUGGGGUACUCUCAGGGUAGGGGUAAAAUCCUGUCAUCCUGAGAGGACCACCUGUUGCGAAGGCUCCACACUAGAACGGAUCCGACGGUCAGGGACGAAGCCUAGGGGCACGAACCGGAUUAGAUACCCGGGUAGUCCUAGGUGUAAACGCUGUGGACUUGAUGUUGGGGACGCUCCGAGCGUUCUCAGUGUCGAAGCGAAGGUGAUAAGUCCACUGCCUGGGGAGUACGGUCGCAAGGCUGAAACUUAAAGGAAUUGGCGGGGGAGCACCGCAACCUGAGGAUUGUGCGGUUUAAUUGGAUUCAACGCCGGAAAACUCACCAUGACCGACGGACAUAUGAAAGCCAGUGUAACGAGCUUGCUGGAUUGUUCGAGAGGUAUUGCAUGGCCGCCGUCAGUUCGUACCGCAAGGCGUUCUGUUAAGUCAGAUAACGAACGAGACCCUCAUCCCUAUUUGCCAAGGUCUGUCCGCAGACCACGGGACUAUAGGGAGACCGCUGGCGCGAAGUCAGAGGAAGGCGAGGGCAACGGUAGGUCAGUAUGAUCCGAAUGUCAUGGGCUACACGCGCAAUACAAAGGACGGGACAAUGGGCUGCUACUCCGAGAGGAAGAAGCUAUCCCGAAACCCGUUCGUAGUUCGGAUU
rnacentral:rRNA from 1 species